rnacentral:rRNA from 1 species
GGGGACCGACUCUUCGGAGAGCCUGCACAGGUGCUGCAUGGCUGUCGCAGCUCGUGCCGUGAGGUGUCCGGUUAAGUCCGGUAACGAGCGCAACCCUCGCCAUAUGUUACAAGUGUCAUAUGGGACUGCCGAUAUAAAGUCGGAGGAAGUGGGAUGACGUCAAGUCAGCAUGGCCUUUAUGUCCGGGGCUACACACACGCUACAAUGGCCGGUACAAUAGGUAGCAAGACCGCGAGGUGGAGCCAAUCCUUAAAGCCGGUCUCAGUUCAGAUUGCAGGCUGCAACUCGCCUGCAUGAAGUCGGAGUUGCUAGUAACCGCGCGUCAGCAAUAGUGCGGUGAAUACGUUCCCGGGCCUU